rnacentral:rRNA from 1 species
GCCCUACGGGGUGCAGCAGGCGCGAAAACUUUACAAUGCUGGGAACAGCGAUAAGGGAACCUCGAGUGCCAGGUUACAAAUCUGGCUGUCGUGAUGCCUAAAAAGCAUUAUAUAGCAAGGGCCGGGCAAGACCGGUGCCAGCCGCCGCGGUAACACCGGCGGCUCGAGUGGUAACCGUUAUUAUUGGGUCUAAAGGGUCUGUAGCCGGCCGGAUAAGUCUCUUGGGAAAUCUGGCAGCUCAACUGUCAGGCUUUCAGGGGAUACUGUCUGGCUCGAGGCCGGGAGAGGUGAGAGGUACUUCAGGGGUAGGGGUGAAAUCUUGUAAUCCUUGAAGGACCACCAGUGGCGAAGGCGUCUCACCAGAACGGACCUGACGGCAAGGGACGAAAGCUAGGGGCACGAACCGGAUUAGAUACCCGGGUAGUCCUAGCCGUAAACGAUACUCGCUAGGUGUCGGCCACGGUGCGACCGUUGUCGGUGCCGUAGGGAAGCCGUGAAGCGAGCCACCUGGGAAGUACGGCCGCAAGGCUGAAACUUAAAGGAAUUGGCGGGGGAGCACCACAACGGGUGGAGCUUGCGGUUUAAUUGGAUUCAACGCCGGAAAUCUUAC